CUAUGAUGUCGAGUUAAUUUACAUGAUAAAUUUAUAAACCUCCAUAUUUUGUCAUGAAACUUGUGCAGAAAUUAAAUGAAAAUAUUUCUUUUGUUUAAAUCCUGUAAUGGACUGAUAAAUGAAUAAACUUUUCGUGGGGAGAAAUUUCAGGCGAGAACCAGGGUUCUAUUUACACACUUUAAUAUUGCACCUGAACAAGUCAGAAAAUUAAUCAUUUCAUGUUCAUUUACGAUUCUAAA
rnacentral:lncRNA from 1 species